rnacentral:rRNA from 1 species
AAAACGACUCUCGACAACGGAUAUCUCGGCUCUCGCAUCGAUGAAAAACGUAGCAAAAUGCGAUACUUGGUGUGAAUUGCAGAAUCCCGUGAACCAUCGAGUCUUUGAACGCAAGUUGCGCCCGAAGCCAUUAGGCCGAGGGCACGUCUGCCUGGGCGUCACGC